rnacentral:rRNA from 1 species
UACAGAGGUCUCGAGCGUUGUUCGGAUUCAUUGGGCGUAAAGGGUGCGUAGGUGGCGCUGUAAGUCGGGUGUGAAAUCCUGGGGCUUAACCCCGGAACUGCAUUCGAUACUGCAGUGCUUGAGGACUGGAGAGGAGACUGGAAUUCAUGGUGUAGCAGUGAAAUGCGUAGAGAUCAUGAGGAAGACCAGUGGCGAAGGCGGGGUCUCUGGACAGUUCCUGACACUGAGGCACGAAGGCCAGGGGAGCAAACGGG